rnacentral:rRNA from 1 species
CGACCGGCGCACGGGUGCGUAACGCGUAUGCAACUACCUUUAACAGGGGGAUAACACUGAGAAAUUGGUACUAAUACCCCAUAAUAUCAUAGAAGGCAUCUUUUAUGGUUGAAAAUUCCGAUGGUUAGAGAUGGGCAUGCGUUGUAUUAGCUAGUUGGUGGGGUAACGGCUCACCAAGGCGACGAUACAUAGGGGGACUGAGAGGUUAACCCCCACACUGGUACUGAGACACGGACCAG